CAAGGAAAUGGAUUAAUUCCGUAAUCAAGUUAAGCGUGUUGAGUGAACUCAGCCGCUCAGUCAAUCUUAAGACAAUAUUGAGCCAAAUGAAUCGAUGAUGCGACUCAGCGUAAGCCAACUUUUGCUGAACACAGGAGAACCGACUUCCCCGAGUUCCCCUUUCUUGCAAAAAUCAUCUCGCCAUAAAUCUGAACGGACAACAGAGACGGCAGAUUUGUGUAGGGAAGGCACACACCGGCAACCCCUCGGAGACUCGGAGACUCUAAGGUUCUUCCCAAGACGUUUCGCUUCUCAUCCAAGAAGCUUCUUCAGUUCCCUCUUGAAAAAGCACCUUUGGGACAACCAUGGCCUGGAUGACUGAGAAUCUCCACUGACAUCUUUUCUUGCCGUUCUUCCUUCCAAUCAAGAUGUGUAAGGUAGCAUCUAACACAGAAGCAGCAGCUCUGGUGUGUAUUCUAUCUGGAAGCCUGUUACUUCCUGUAUCCAACAACUUUUAAUAACAACAACAACAACAACAACGAGUUGGAAGGGAUCUUGGAGGUCAUCUAGUCCAACCCCCUGCCCAGGCAGGAAACCCUACACUACUUCAGACAAAUGGUUGUCCAACAUCUUCUUUAAAAUUUCCAGUGUUGGAGCAUUCACAACUUCUUCAGGCAAGUUGUUCCACUGAUUAAUUGUUCUAACGGUCAGGAAAUUUCUCCUUAGUUUAACCUUAGACUGUCUACUGUUGACCUCCCCGCAUUCCUAAGAGGUCUGUAAGGGGGGUGCAUAAGCGCACCAGCGUGCCUACCGUCCCUGUCCUAAUGCCCCCCUUUUAUUCGUAUCCAUUUCAUGUAUUCAUAAUCAUGUUUAUACUUGUAUCUGUUAUGUAAUACUUGCUUGACAAAUAAAUAAAAUAAGUAAAUAAAUGAAAAUUACAUUUGGGGGGCGUUUUGUUACCCAAACACAGGCCAACUUCGAGAAACCCUGCUCUAAAC